rnacentral:other from 1 species
GAAUACCUGAUGUGUGCGUUAGAGUACCUAUUUAUUUUGACCGAACAUAUUUGUUACGGGAGACGUAAAAAACGUGGUGAACAAAAGCCUUUUCAUGAGGACUUGUGAGCCCCGGUGAGUGUCACCCACCUGCUGUAAGAGCGGGUACAAAAUUUAGGGAAAAUCGACGGCACAAUCGGGGUUCUU